GAUGAAGAACGUAGCGAAAUGCGAUACUUGGUGUGAAUUGCAGAAUCCCGUGAACCAUCGAGUCUUUGAACGCAAGUUGCGCCCGAAGCCAUUAGGCCGAGGGCACGCCUGCCUGGGCGUCACACGUCGUUGCCCCCCCAUCUACUCCUUCGGGAUUGCGGGGGGCGGAUGAUGGCCUCCCGUGCGCCUCGUCGCGCGGUUGGCAUAAAUGCCAAGUCCUCGGCGACACACGCCACGACAAUCGGUGGUUGCGAAACCUCGGUUGCCCGUCGUGUGCGGUCGUCGCGCAUCGAGGGCUCGAAAAAAUUGCCGGGCUCCGGCUCGGCUUUCAACGCGAACCCAGGUCAGGCGGGGUUACCCGCUGAAUUUAAGCAUAUCAAUAAGCGGAGGA
rnacentral:misc_RNA from 1 species